rnacentral:rRNA from 1 species
CAGUCGCCGCGGUAAAACAUAGGGUGCGAGCGUUAAUCGGAUUUACUGGGCGUAAAGCGUGCGUAGGCGGCUUCUUAAGUCGGAUGUGAAAUCCCUGAGCUUAACUUAGGAAUUGCAUUCGAUACUGGGAAGCUAGAGUAUGGGAGAGGAUGGUAGAAUUCCAGGUGUAGCGGUGAAAUGCGUAGAGAUCUGGAGGAAUACCGAUGGCGAAGGCAGCCAUCUGGCCUAAUACUGACGCUGAGGUACGAAAGCAUGGGGAGCAAACAGGAUUAGAUACCCCGGUAGUCCCUGUCUCUUAUAC